CGGGUUAAGUCCCGCAACGAGCGCAACCUGUCCUAGUUGCCAUCAUUAAGUUGGGCACUUUUAAGGAAACUGCCGGUGAUAAGCCGGAGGAAGGUGGGGAUGACGUCAAGUCCUCAUGGCCUUACAGGCUGGGCUACACACGUGCUACAAUGGCAUCUACAGUGGGCAGCUAUUCCGCAAGGAUGCGCUAAUCUCCAAAAGAUGUCUCAGUUCGGAUUGUCCUCUGCAACUCGAGGGCAUGAAGGCGGAAUCGCUAGUAAUCGCGGAUCAGCAUGCCGCGGUGAAUACGUUCCCAGGCCUU
rnacentral:rRNA from 1 species